GCAGGUUUGCGUGACGCACAUGACCCUUGCCGUUCUUCUCUACGAGCGCAAGAAGUAGAAGCGACGGUAAUCUGCAUGCCAAAAACACACCCUCUUCUGUCUCCAGUAAAGGUAAAAGGAUAAUGAUAAUCGCAAUAAUAGCAAGAGCCCCCUAUCCUGAUUUGAGCUCUGCCCUAUGGCGUGGGUGUUACAGUAGCGUGUGUGUGUGUGUAUUGAUCAUUGAGCCCUGCAAGUUAUAAACACCGGGUUCAAGGGGGCUUGUUCAGCAAAGGGCCAUAUUACACCCAUCUCAAGGCCAUAAUUGUCCCUUUGAAAUUAUACAAAGGGGAGUGUUCUAUAUGUCACGGGGAGCCAAAAAUUACGUGUUGUUUAAAAUGAGCAUCAAGACCUGACAGUAAAUGAAUGCUUAUUAGUCCGAAUUUGACACCUGCUUUGAAUGGCCUGCCUGUUUUAGGCUGACCGUUUACAUUUUUUUACAUACUGUCUUAAUAUUAGUAAAAUGCAUGAAUAUUUCUGCUCGCUAUUUCAUUUUUUUUCUUUCUUGCAGCUCAACAUUUGCAGCUUCUUUAGAAAACGAUACAAGCAUCUGUUGUUGUUUUUGUUUUACCUUGAUUUGCACAAUAAUAAGGUGCGUGACGUCAUUUAUGGAUGGCCCUCUGGUACGGUUCAACUUGUUAAUAACAAUGCAUUAACCGCACAUACCGGGCCUCAGAAACAUCAACGUUGCGAUCGCCGAGAGGCGAUAGACGCCGGAGAACACCGCCGUCCAUGCCGACCGACAGCUGCUACAGCUGUGUCCAGUCGAGGCGCGGCGUGAGACCGAGUGGCGACCACAAGGAUCCACCUGGCGUGCCUCGGCGCACACCUGGCUGUACGAGAUCGAGAUGGACAUUGACUUCUCCCCUUCAGAGGCACGGACUGCUGCGGGUGAGCUUUAAAAGCGCAACGACCCCGAUUUUUUUAAAAUCUAGUCAAGCACAAAUCGUAGUCGUAGCAACCAGCCUCCGUGGAGGGCAACCCGCAUCUGUUGACGUUUCACAAAUUGGGGACUCGAUUCAUUGACCCCCGAACCAAUGAUAAGCUGAGUCACCCGAAGACUCGGACAUAAAUUCGCCCAACUUUUCCACUUGUCAGUCGAGCGUGCGCAAACCAAGCGUUCCCCCUGGCAGAUUAUUGUUGUUCAAUUGUGGCGUUGAUAAUCUAGUGUUCUGUGCAUCAGUGUAUCGCGAAGGUAUUGGUAUUCGUUUCGUAAAGCAACAUGACUGUUUGGUCAACGAUUCCUUCACUGUCCACCCCAAUCAGAGGCUCCCUGCCGCUGACGCGUGUGGUCUACGAGAUGGAUUUUAUUUACUAAGUAUAGCAGCAUUGACAGCAUAACUUGAUAUCCCUUGACCUAUUGAAUUGCUGCCUAUGCAGACGGAUGACAUUUUUUUUCGAUAAAUGGUAGUUAAGCGCAGCGUUACAUGCACCGAAGUGCAUGGUUUGAUUGAUGUUUUCGGUUCCUCUUAUCCAAAUGAAAUGAAAAAUCACUUCACCUCAUGUCGUUAAGCAUAUACAGAUUCCUAUCUCUCACGCGGGUAUUUACGCGCGUUAUUGAAAUAGGCAGAUGUUUUUUUUCUUCUUCUGACGAGCAAUUAAAACGUUGACGUUUCGAAAUGUUGUCCAUUCAAGAAAAAAGGGAAAAACUAUGCUUCUUGAAGAACUUCACGUUGAACGUGAAGACUUUGGGAAGCAGAAUAUGUUUCAACUUUCAUACUGGGAAAGUCUCCGAGUCGCUUAAACAAGUACAGUCCUUUAAAAAAUUUUUUAACCAUAAUUAUUAAACAAAAAUGUAAUUAAAACCUUUUCUGGAAUUUUAUAUAUAAAAAAAUCAGCUGGCUUGUGAAGCUCGUUGUGAUAUAAUGUAUAUAUGUAUUAAUUCAUGCAGUGUGGAAGUAAAUACAAUAGUCUAUGGAGUAGAAAAAUAAAUUACAUCAUAUGUAAAUUGACAGACAUAAAACCGAGCAGACGGAGUGAUGAAAUCAGCUCAUGUGCCAGUGCAAGUUGGAUGACUACAUCGUAGGAUUGCGAGAGAUGGGGGCAAGCAUGGGGAGACUUUCACCCAUCGGUGAAUUGACCAAGGCUGAUGAUGACGUGUAUCUAAUUUUGUGGUAGCACAUUGCACUGUGAAUCUGGUGACCCAAAUUUGAUUCCAAAACAUGGCUAACAUCGGUGGCAAGUGAUAUUAGAAUCAGUCAUAGGCCUUCCCCCUUCGCAAUUCCCCACAACGGCAUUGUGAAUAAUGACCAACCGACCCCCACGACCGAUAUGACAUGGGGAGGCCUUCAUUCGGCAGUAGAUUGACAAAAAGUGCUGUCAAUUAUUCUCGUUAAAUUAUACAUAUAAAAUCUGCGUGAGUGUAAUCAGUGUGUUGAGUUAAAUCAUCCUCUGGUUGGAUGACGAUGUUACUGUCUGAUAUUUUCUCCAACAUGUUCUCCACCAUGAAUCCAAUUUUAGAUAUAUUUGGAAUAGUGUAGAUCAUGUUAAGAGUGGAAACUCUCCCGAGGAGAAUGAAUCCACGCUUGUGCCCUCGGGGAAAGCUACGAGAACAUGCCACUCAAGAAUGAAGGUGUAAAGUUGUUUGUGUUGUUGUGUCAAGAUCAGUGUCAUUGUGUGGAUAGGCACACAGUAAUAUAUAAAAAAAACAAAUAUCCAAACACCUCUCCAUACCAAAAAAAAACCCACUAAACCAUGCAUUAUCGUAGCUUUGUUGGCUGGUGCUUUGGGUCAUUGGAUUGCCGAGUGUCCAGUGUGCGCAUCAAUGAAGCAGUUUGAAUGAGGUCAAUGGUUCAAAUCCCAGAGCCAGACAAUAAUUCUGUGGUGCUGUUUGAAAAGAAUGCAAUUUUGCUGUAAAGUCCAAGAUGCUGACAUCAUUUGCAGACAUGACCAUUGGCACGGCUCAAACUUAAUAAUAAUAAUAAAGAGUUUACUCUUGUUUUUCACUAACAAAGUGAAAUAGUGUCCAUCAAACAGUUCUGGUUGUUGGUCAUCUCAAUCACAGUUUUUUUUCCGAUUCAGUGGUGAGAAUUCCACAUUCCUGUGGCGGGAGCCAGUUUUAUCCUUGAAGAAGGGCCCUUGUAUAAAUUCUGCAGUCUCAAUUUAAUGAGCUAUUUUAUCUCAAUAGCAGAAAACAUACAUCGAUCUUGGUCAUUUUGUUUGAGCCAUUAAAUAAAAAUAAAGAUAACGUGAGACAAACAGGCUCAUGUACAAAGGGGAUGAGAUUUGAACUGAUAUUUUUACACAUGACAGUCCUAACAGUCUUGACGACUUUAAAACUCUAACUGAAGGGAAGCUCUGUGGGUCAGACGAGGAUUUUUUUGUUGUUGCAUAGUGCCUCCCAGGACGGUGACCUCUCUGAAAGGGUCUUUCUCUUCAAAUCCAUUGGUCUGACUGCCUGCUGACAUUUGGGGGCGUUGAGUCUAAACCUGCGCAUCAGCUGCUGUGAGGCAGGGAGGUCGUGACCCCGUCUCAAGCCGUGAAAAUUUGACACCAGAAAACACCUCCGGAGUCGUGCCCAUUCCCAUUUCCAGGCACGCUCCAACGGUGUUGCACGAACAAGCAGAGGAGGGGAAGGGGGGGGCGAAAAAGAACAGAAAAUCGGAGCAUAUCCUCUCUGUGGCCUAUCACUUCUAAAUAGAGCGUGAUGUGUGUGUGUUUUUACAAUGCUAAUGGACAUUACAGAUAAGAGCCAUUUAGCAAAGCGUAUGGCUUGUGUCUUCAAGGAAAGCUGCGCUGUAAAUGUUUAACAAGCCCAGCUGUUCGGACAUUAAUUAAAUAAACCUUACAGCAUAACAGGCGGAAUGGCUAACGUUACAACCUCCUUGCUCUUAUCCUUUAGCUUUGCAUAAAAGAUAAGAUUAGAAGGGCACUGAACUGCAGAAAGCCCUUUUCUAUGGUAUUGUUUUCAGAUGACUAUUUGCACAGCAACCGAAAAAGGGCCCCAUUUCUGUGAACACAGAUAGAGGAGCAGAUGGUUAAUUCUAUUAUUCUAAUUCCUUGGGGGUAUAUCUUACACAGACAAUGUACCUGAGAAGGUUAUGGAGAAGAGAAACAUAAAAACAUGACUUUCAAUAUUAUUAUAAUAAUGAAAAUGUAAAUACUUGUUAUGUUGUUUGCUCUGCAAUGGCGUUUAAGAUUAGUGUAUUUUAUUUUAUUUGUGUAUUGCUUUCUUUGAGAUGAGGGUUGUGUUUUAAAAUGAGCCGACAUGCCAUAUGAUGUUUCCUGGCUCUUGCCACUUCUGUGCGGAGGCUGCUUGAUGGAUCAUACGUGCAAGCGAGCUAUGGUAACAGCUGCUGCAGGAAAGUCAACCCUUAAGUGCCCUAAAUGAGAAUGGGAGCUCAGGUAUCUGGCUUCACAGUAACGUAAUUCAAUACCGAAUGGCAGAAAUCACAUUUAGUCUAAAAGGGCCAGGGUCAGUUACGAUAAAAGGGAGAUGUUUUGAAAAAAUACUUCUUUCAGGAAUGGAUUGAAAUUACAAAAAUAAAAUCACCUGCUGGAAAAUUAUAUAAUUAAUAUUGAAAGCAAAUUCUUUUGGGUCCCACUUAAGACUGGCAAAUAAUGACUAUGCAGGGUACUUUGCUGAGAAGAGUGUGUUUUUAAGCAAAUGAUAAAGUAGCAAGCCAUCUUCCAUUAUACUAUUCACGAACAUCUUUAAUAAGAGGCUUUAAGUGAUUAAAAUACGCUUCCAUUAUUAUGGAGAGCAUUUCUCUCCAAGUGACAGUGGAAUACGUGCAGCUUUAGCAAGUGUACAUCAAUUGCAGUCUCAUAUUACAAAAAAACAACACUCAAUCACAUACAGAAAGAGGAAGACAAGUGUUUCAGGCAAAGGUCUAUUCAUGUCUCCGAAACAAGUGGUGAAAAUUCCACAUUUCCACGGCAAUUGAUGCUAAUUUAAACACAUUGACAAACAAUUUAUAUUUCACCAAAUGCUCGUUUGCAUUUAGAAAUGGUACGGGACACAUUUGUUUAAAAUGUGGAAGUGCUGUCUUUGCCCAGCAUCACUGAUGUUUUUUUUGUUUGUUUCUUCAUCGUUACGAGCGUGAACAUUUGUCCAGGAUGAAAGGGCGAUGGGCCGCCCACCAAAGAAUGGGAGCAGUGCCGCGGCGCUUCGGCAGGUGUAAUAAAACGGUGCUCUGAAGCCACAGCAGCGGCAGCAGCAGUUGACGUGAAGCCUCUUGAGUGCAAGCGGACAACUCGGGGGUGAGCGACAGGCGGGCAGGAGGGGAGGGACAAGAAGAGCCAAGUGGCCCGGCGGGGGAGAAGCGCACGCCGGACCAGCUCUUGGCGCUCAGCAUUUCAGGGUUUUUGGAUGGGCAUAGCACCCAGGGUGAAGGAUGGCAGAAUGAGCCGUGACCGUGGCAUGACAGGUGCAAUUAGUGUGCGAUUAUGAUUUAUCGUGGCACAGUGGGGUUGGGAGGGCCUGUUUAUUGAGUCGGUGGCUGGCGCAGAGGGUGGAGUUGUUUUUUUUUGGAUGGGAGUCUGACUGGUCCACUUGUCUACUCUGGCACAUCCUGCUACCACAACGGCCAUUGAUACGUUGUGCCUCCAAACAGCUCAUUAAGGCCUGACGACAGUGCUGCUAUUGUGUGGACGAGCUCAAUGGCCUGGCUGACAGCGGAAUAAAAUGCUCGGGGUUUUGCGGGUCCGCGAUUACGCUGAACGGAGCAAGUCCUUUAAUGCUCCGUAGCCACUGAAAACAACUGAGUAGUGUCCUCUUCCUUUAAGGAAACAAACCAAAAAAAGUAUCAGUCUUGCACAUUGAUUCUGCACGGCAAUGAGAAUGGCUGGCUUUCUCUUUGUCUUUCUAUCUGGUCGACUAUGUGACUGUCUCCUUGCAUGUUUGUUUACUAUUGUGUCUGUCUAGCUGACUGAACGUACACAUUCCAAUCCCUCUGUCUAUCUGGAUAUCUGUUUGACUGUCAUUCUGGUCAAAAUGUGUCUGGCUAUUUGCGUGGCUUUUGCGCAUGCAACUGUCAUUCAUCUACGUAAUGUCUGUCUGUCCUUUCCACAAGACGUGCAAUUGUUUUCCACCACUCCUUGAUCACUUAGCCUCUCAAUUGGAUGACUCAACCAGAACCAAGGUGAUUGCGUCUAUGUACACUUAAAUACAGGCAAAGUGAAUAGUAUUCACACACUGCGCUAUGUUCCUGUUGAUACAGGUCCAAUGCGUGGCCAUGUGCCAUACACCAUUGUUCAUUUGAGUCUGAACCAGGUCUGGGCAUCCCCUGGAUUGACUUCGCUUGAAAUUAAGUAACUACUAUGUUGAAAUCUCCUGCCAUGCAGGGCAUGACAAGCAAUAUCUAACAGCCAUCGCGACAACAAAUUAAUAUGACUUGUACGUAAAUAUAUCCUCGACAAUAAUUAUUUAAUGGCAUGAAAUGAAAAGGUGAAAGAGAGCCAAUUGGAGUGCUUUUAGAAAGCUGAAAUGUAUUAUAAAAAAAAGUUCCUAUUUGCCUGAAUAAACUUUGUAACCAGUGCAGCACUGCCUGCUCUGAUACAUGGUUCAGAAAAAAAUGGUCAUUAACCAAAACAACUCUAAAACCGAAAAGUGGACUAAGAAGCAGGGAGAGAUGCACGCUUGGCAUUACACUGAGCGACAGUGCAAUGCCGGCAUGAGAGAGCAAAUACGCACGUUGAUGACAUCAUUCAAAGCGUUCAGAAAGCAUUUGGGCUUGGGCAGGACGCGUCGCUGGAAGAGAUGAUAGCACGCGGUGAAGAACAAUGAUGGAGAGGCAUACAAGGAAUGGAACGCGUCCAAGAGGACGUCUACGGAGGAGAUGGAGCAAUUAAAUCAGCUCAUUUACAGGGGUCAGGUGGAUUGUUACAUCGCGUGAUAAUGAGAGAUGCCGGCAGCUUGGGGAAGCCUUCAUCCGACAAUUUAAAAAGUGUUGUAUGUCUGUGUGUUGAACUUCUUUCCCAACGUACGUAGCCAAUCAUGUAAAUCGAAGGUGCGGGGGGGAAGGACAACAAAUUAAAUGAAAAAAACGGUUCUCAAGAAAUAUACGUUAUCAAUCGAGAUUUAAAAGUGUUGAUUGGAGGGGGUGGAACAAACGCAGAAAAAAUUAAGCGAUGAACAUUGUAGCCGUUGCUCAUAUCGGGAACUCGUUCUGUUUAGCAUUUUUUUUUUAGUUUGUUUAACAUUGACUGCCAUUCUCCCCCACCCCUUCCCCAGAGUUGUUGUAUCCCGCUUCCUUUAAGCAAGGUCACGCUACAGGGGCUGCUGUGAAGAUGAACCUACAGCAUCACUGCGCUGCAUGGAAGCGCGGGACGGCUGUCUCAGUUUUUUUUUUGUCUUCGAAAGGACAUCACAAUCCACAGUGAUGAUUUUCAGUGCUCAGAAAUAUGAGUGAAGAUUGGAUUUUGUUUUUCGGUUCAGUUUACUUGACCAGGUCAGCACCUAAUGUGAUUCCUUAUCUCUUCAGCGAGGACGAUCUAUUUGAACGUCGCUAUGUAGCUAAUUGUAGGUAAUUUUGAAGGGAAAAAAGCAAGAAAGGAAGAACUAUGUUGUAGUGGGAGGCCUCGGGAAAAACAGAGACUGAGGAAGACAGAAAGACAGAGAGCCAUGUUGUUGUUUGCAAAAUACCAGCUGGUCAGAUGAUGAUGGUGAUGAUGGAUUUGGGCUACGACAACAUAAAAUUACCUAUCCUUUUCCACUAUCUUCUAUUGUCUUUAAAACUUCAGGCUUGUAUGUAUGUUGAACUUCUUUCACGCCGUAUGUAGCCAACCGCAUUAAUUGGAGACUUGACUCAGAACACGGGCCCUGAUGUACACCACACAGCAAACGUUUGUGAAUCCGCACAGAAAUCAAAGGAGUGUUUUGACUGGAGUCAAAUCGUCAAACCUGAUGCAAACUAGCUCGGCUAUCAUUUCAACCUCCACUCCCCCCCCCCCCCCCACUGAAAACGCCAUAUGAUCCUGACAGCAAUGUAUAGUGGCCAAGACAUCGGCCGUCCUUUGGGGGAAACGUGGUGAGGCGACAACCUGGUGCUCCCGAACGCACACAGAGCCUUCCUGUGAAGCAGCAGCAGCAGCCUUGUAGGCUGGCAUGUGACAAAACUCCGGAAGUGCGGAGGUUAAGAGUUAGACCUCGGGGGUCCAGCAUGCCAUUUAUGAGAGUAUGAUGAAUCUGUGUGUCACACGCACGGUGACAUCAUGCAUCAGUAAUCCCUGGUUAACCCCUGCUCCUGUUUUUCUAAACUGAAGCAUUUCAGUCUCGCAAAUAGUUUUACCAAGAUGUUAGAUCUUGCUCGAAACUUUUUUUUUGUUGUUAUUGUACUGUAACAAAAAUAGAGCAAAACAACAUUGCAUCAGCGGCAACCAUUUGACCUAUCACGUUCUGCACUUACAUUUAUUUUGCUGUUCGGAAGUUUAGAAAAUAUUCGGCACGUUUCGAUACCCUUUAUUUUGCACAGACUCAUGGAAGCUGCUUAUUUCUUUUAAACAAAGUUAAAAGGGAGGGCUAGAAUAGGAACCAUACAUUUGGUUGUGAGAUUUUUGUGGCCGUUCACAGACGUACUUUAUUUCCAGCAAAUGUUCCGUAGUAAAGCACAUGCCAGCAUUCUGCAAAAAUAACGACGAACGUCACCUCUUUGCUCCAUUUGAAAAGAGAAGUGCUGAUGAGAUUCCACAUUUAAUGGUGGUGGUGACGUUUCUUGGCUUAACUUUGGGUUGACACAUUGUUGCGGUCAUAGAUUCUUCCAAAGGCUCGUGCAAAAUUAAUACCUGGUGAAAAAAAGUUGCGUGAUUAAUUAUUAACGUUUGAGUUUACUUCGACAACGUAUUAAGAGGAGUCUCUUGAAGUUGGCAGAAACAAAAGGGUGAAUUUUAACUAUUUCACUCAUUUUUGUUGGGCGAUUUUUUUUUCUAUUUGCGCAUGUUUAAUUGUCAUCUCCUAAAAUGUACACAAUGUUUAAACAAAAAAAACUAAAACGAGUGUUGGAGUACCAAUCUAUCAUAACACAGAAUAAGUGGUGGAUGCAUAUUGUUUGCGGUUUCAUUUUUGAGGGAUUCCGGGAACUAUGCUGGGCAAUUAUCUGAGAUUUUGGAAAAUAUGUUGGUUCAAUAUGUUCGUUCAAAUUAGCAUUUUAAUACUGUCAUUGUACUUGAGUUUAACCAUCAGCAAUACAUUUAAUACCAAACAGAGAGAAGGCAUGCAUCUUCACAACCUAUACACUUGGGCUUUAAGCAAUAGGUCAGCAAUGAAAAAAAAACGAUUUAUGGCUGAUGAUACAUUGAUGUUUCCAUGUGAA